rnacentral:pre_miRNA from 1 species
AAUGUUGACGGUGAUUAUCAUGGUAUAACCAUGAUAAUUAUCCCAACAUUGA